GCAGGAGACAGGGAGUGGGCAAAUGAACUGAAUCUGUUCUUCAAUAGAUUUGAUUCUGCUCCCAACCCAACACUAAUAUAUGCAGUUUGUGGUUUUAUGACAUUGAAAGGCUGUUUUAAUAUAUGAGCAUUAGAAUGGAGCAAUGAGCAGGGAGGGAAUGAUUGCAUUGAACUUCAGGAUACUGUUGCCUUUUCUUUGCUUUUAUAUGAUUUUGAUCCCUUUUUUGAUGCCAAAUUAAUGUUGGUGUCUUCAAACUUUUGUAUUUUAGUACCAAAAGACAAAAACGUUGAAAAUAUUUUUUUUUACUUAAGAUUUUAAAAAACUGAAAAUCCUCACCAGUAAGAUGAUGGAUCUGCAUGAUGAGUGCAUUGUUUUGCUUUAAAAUAAGUUGAAUGAGAGAUCGUUUGUUAAAUAGAAUCAUUUCUGCCUCAAACAUUAGCUGUGCUCAGCCUUCAGUCUUCCUUUCAGGUUAAGGUGCUGGUUAAGCUCUACUCUAAUUCUGCAAAACAUUGUCUCUGGAAAUAUCUACAAGUUUGUUGGUGAGAGAAAGCCAGCGGACCCCAUCGAGGAUUGGGAAAGCCGGAUUUCUGGCUGGAAAGAAGGAUUGGCUCAACCCCUCCCUGACGAGGAAGAAAGCAACCUGAAACCAGAGGACUUUGAAAUCCUGGUCAUUAACAUGGACUACGGCAUGAAAGACGAGAACAGCAAAAAUGCAUCCAGGAUUGGCACAACGUGCUUUUCUGAGCAGCUGAUCAGGGUCUUCUGUAAGAAGACUGAUAGAAAGAGUGUGAAGGCUGCAAAAAAGCACUUUGAACAGUGGAAGUUCGAGAAGAAGCCGCAUCUGCUUGGACCUGAGGGUAAUUAAAAGACCAUGGAAAUGACUCAACAACAUGAAUAACACAGAAUUGUUUCUUAUUCAGACUCAGGACUCUUUCUAGCUUUUAUCAUAUACAUGUUGUAUUGUUGUUUUAAAUUGUUGACUCCCUUCUGCAUCUGCAUAAGUUCCAACAACAUACAACAUGAUUUUAUUGAGGACAAAGAUAAAUCAUAAUAUAUAAUAAUAUAAACUGAUACAUAGACACACAUGACACUGGAUACAUUACUUACACAGCUAGCAGCUGUAUGGCUGUUGAAUACCAUUUAGGUAAAGAAAGCCAUUAUUGAAAUCCAACAAUCAUUGUCUCAAACUGAAUAUAUAAACUGCAUGUUUCUGAAUUGAUUCAGCUUUUGGUCACAUUUAUGCUUCUUUGUAGGUUGUGAAUUAUUUUUGGUCGGGGAAAGAUGUAAAGCACUCCCAACAUGUGUAAUGGAGUGAAUAUUUCACUUGUGGUUUUAUUUAGGGAUUUAUAAUACUCAGUGGUGUUUUAGUUUUGAUGUUAAUCGUUUGAAGAUUGAGGACAUGAGAUUAGAUUAUUUGUCUUUGAGUGGUGUUUAAUGAGAGAUGAUCAUGAGUGAUGUUUUGGUGACUGGUAUUAUCUUAUAUUAUAUUACUUUGUAUCUGCAGCAUUUAUUAUCACAAUACAAUUUUAAUCUGUUUUAAAAUGAGUCUUAUUUUGGGCAUGUUUUAUAAUGUGCUCUUCUUUUGAGUUUAUGAUUCUUACUUUAAAAACUGGAACUUGUGAAAACCUUUAUUUGCAUCUAAAAACUUGAAAUUCGAAUUGAAAAAUAUCUUUUAAACGUAUCCAUCAACUACCUUUCUUCAAUGGAUGAUGAAUGUGUUUAAAUGUAUGACACACUUUAAGUGAAGCUAUAAUUGUUUGACGAUUGGUUCUUACAUAAAGCAUCUAUGAGAACCUUUCAAGUGUAUUCCUGUUGUGAUGGGUUCAUAUCUGAUAAAAUCUGCAUGUAUUCAAAAUAAACAUCAGAGAAAAUCCUGAGUUCAA